UGCAGCGACCUCAGGGAGGGCGCGCGGCUCAUACCCGUGCGAGCCGGGUUCGAUCCCCGGCGCUGCAA
rnacentral:tRNA from 2 species